CCAGAAUUCGAAUUUUCCCAAUUUGAACCCUUCUCGGUUAUCGUGCAAGUACAGUAAAUUCGUCCAUCAGAUUUAUGAAUUGAACGGACUACGACAGCGCGUUCAGCACUUUCGGACCUUCGAGAUCAUGUUUUCGUUUCACGUGAUUUGGUUGCGGAUUCGUGAAGAUCCGAUCAUCCUAACCACACAUUUCUUAAUCCAAGGGCUAAAAAACUAAUAGCACCAACAGCUUCGUACUAUUAAUAGUAUUUCAACCUAGUUCUAUAUAUAUAUAUAUAUAUAUAUAUAUAGAGAGAGAGAGAGAGAGAGAGAGAGAGAGAGAGAGAGAUAUAUAUAUAUAUAUAUAUAUAUAUAUAUAUAUAAAAAUAAAGAGAGAGAGAGAGAAAGAGUCCGGCUACUAUACUCUUAUGAGUACGAUCGCCUUCGUACUCAUAAGUCGUUUUCGAUGAUAGAGCUUCCAAAUCGACGAUCCAUACAGUUAAACAUUCUCUAGAGCAUUUAAAACUUCUAGAAAUCAAAUUUCAUAAUUUUUCAACAUCAUUUACCUUACGAUCAAAAGUUCACAAAAUUGACAAUUUUUAACGGUCGGUAUGGGAUACUUGCUAGUUUAACGGUGCAAAAGAAUCGGAAUAGGUUGAAUUUUUGAUAGAAAAUUCUAUUCACUACCUAGAUAAAGAUCAAUAACUCCGAUCUAUCCGAUCAUCCAGUUUAGGAUGUCGUCCGAUAUAUCCGAUCAUCCAUUCUUUUCUAGAAGUUUCAAAUACUCUAGAUCAUAUUUAACAGAAUGGAUCAUCCAUUUGCAAGCUCUAACAUGGAAAACAACUUCUGAGUACGAAGGGCCAAACACUCAUUAAGAGUAUUUAGUAGCCCCAUAUAUUAUAUAUAUAUAUAUAUAAUAUAUAUAUAUAUAUAUAUAUAUAUAUAUAUAUAUAUAUAUAUAAUAUAUAUAUUAUAUAUAUAUAUAUAUACUAUUAUAUUAUAUAUAUAUAUAUUUGAUUUGAAAUUCGAAUUCAAAUUCAAAUUUUGAAUUCCUCAAAUUACAAAUAUCCCAGAUAUUAUAUGAUCCUCUAGAGUUAAGUGGAUGGUUGGUUGAAUAGUAUGAUCUAACGGGUAGAAAUGAUUAAAGGGAUAGUAUCAAGCGCUUGGUGCUAUCAAGUUUUUUGUCGUUAAAUCUACCCCUUUGAACAUUUCCACAUGUUGGAUCAUACUAUUCAACCAACCACCAUUCAACCAGCCACCCAGUCAAUUCUAGGGGACCAUUAUCAUCCUAACUGGAGACAACUAUCAUCCUAACCGUACAUUCCUUCGUUCAAGGGCCGAGAAAACCUAAUAGCACAAAGCAGUGGGUACUAAUAAUAGUAUAGUAA
rnacentral:lncRNA from 1 species